rnacentral:piRNA from 1 species
UGUGACCUGUCUUAAGCCUCAGCUUGU